CUGCAUUGUUCAUCCAAAAAAGCUAAUUGAUGCAGAAUGACAUACACCUACAUCAAUACAUACAAAAUAAUUAUGUAUAAGAAGUUGUAACCAUAUUUUGUUAUAUAAUUAUAUCUUAGACAAAAGUACAAUAUACCAUAGCAUAACGUCAAAUACAGAUAAUGACUUGCUGGCACAAAAAGGCACUAUAACACUUGGGGCACACCUACAUAUUUUCAUACAACACAUAUCCAAAGCAACUACCCUUUCAUUUAGUUAGUCCAAAUAUCCAUUGGUUAGGGUUUCUAGAUCACAUGUUCCAUUUAAUUACCCUUUCAUGAAUUCAUGUUAAUUUCUCCCAAAGAUUUUUUUUCUUCUUUUAUUUAUAUAUCUUAAUUGACAGAAACAAGCACGGCUCUAUUAGGAUGAGAAAUGAAAGUAAGGCAUUGUUUUUUAUCAUCCAUUGCAGAAUGUAAAAGAAAACUAUACCUGAACAUGAUGAUCUGAUCAGG
rnacentral:misc_RNA from 1 species